GAUGAACGCUGGCGGCGUGCCUAAUACAUGCAAGUCGAGCGAACGGACGAGAAGCUUGCUUUUCUGAUGUUAGCGGCGGACGGGUGAGUAACACGUGGAUAACCUACCUAUAAGACUGGGAUAACUUCGGAAAACCGGAGCUAAUACCGGAUAAUAUUUUGAACCGCAUGGUUCAAAAGUGAAAGACGGUCUUGCUGUCACUUAUAGAUGGAUCCGCGCUGCAUUAGCUAGUUGGUAAGGUAACGGCUUACCAAGGCAACGAUGCAUAGCCGACCUGAGAGGGUGAUCGGCCACACUGGAACUGAGACACGGCCCAGACUCCUACGGGAGGCAGCAGUAGGGAAUCUUCCGCAAUGGGCGAAAGCCUGACGGAGCAACGCCGCGUGAGUGAUGAAGGUCUUCGGAUCGUAAAACUCUGUUAUUAGGGAAGAACAUAUGUGUAAGUAACUGUGCACAUCUUGACGGUACCUAAUCAGAAAGCCACGGCUAACUACGCG
rnacentral:rRNA from 1 species